GCCGUCGACGAUGAAGAGAUCCUACAAUUCAUCAUGAAUGGCCUCGACUUUGAUUACAAUCCACUUGUUUCCUCUAUCCUUGGCCAUGCUAAUUCCAUAUCAUUAAGUGAUCUGUACUCUCAACUAGUGGCAUAUGACA
rnacentral:snoRNA from 1 species